rnacentral:rRNA from 1 species
CUACGGGGUGCACCAGUGGGGAAUAUUGCACAAUGGGCGCAAGCCUGAUGCAGCCAUGCCGCGUGUAUGAAGAAGGCCUUCGGGUUGUAAAGUACUUUCAGCGGGGAGGAAGGGAGUAAAGUUAAUACCUUUGCUCAUUGACGUUACCCGCAGAAGAAGCACCGGCUAACUCCGUGCCAGCAGCCGCGGUAAUACGGAGGGUGCAAGCGUUAAUCGGAAUUACUGGGCGUAAAGCGCACGCAGGCGGUUUGUUAAGUCAGAUGUGAAAUCCCCGGGCUCAACCUGGGAACUGCAUCUGAUACUGGCAAGCUUGAGUCUCGUAGAGGGGGGUAGAAUUCCAGGUGUAGCGGUGAAAUGCGUAGAGAUCUGGAGGAAUACCGGUGGCGAAGGCGGCCCCCUGGACGAAGACUGACGCUCAGGUGCGAAAGCGUGGGGAGCAAACAGGAUUAGAUACCCUCGUAGUC